UCUUUUUUUUAUUAUGGGUUGCAAGACAUAGUUUGGCAUACUGAAGAAAAAAUUUAAGGAAUAAAAGGUGCUGUAGACAUGCAAUUAUCCCGGUUCACGGAAUUAUGAAUGAGGUAGAGUAACUUGUUAAAUUUGGAGAGUUUUGAAAUUAAAUUUGAGAGUAAAUUAAACUUUUGUAUAUAGUUCUUUCAUAUCUUAAUUUGGAUAUUUUUCACUCU